CGCAGGAAAUGGAGGACGCGGGGCCGGGAGGGCACCCGGGCCCCCUCAGCGCGGAGGGCACCGCCGGACACCCGCGCGGGGCUCCCACGCGCUACAGCCCAAAGACACGAGAGGAGAAAAGUUGUUUUGAGUCACUUAACAAAAUUUACACUCGGACUCUGUGCGUACGCAAAGCUCAGGAAUAGUGUUCCUGUUCUGAGGAUGUUUACAUAAACCCUCUCCUUUGUGCCUGGGAACUUUGCAAAUGAAUUAGUGACCAGUUAUUGCCCCGAACGCACUCCCACGUUCGUGGCCUGGCAAGUACCACACACCAGCAGUGUCCAGCAUCAGUUGUCAUCCUUUUGUUCCAAGUCACACCGUUUAUGUUUAAAAGUCUUACAAGAAGGACCCGCCGAGCCCCGGGCUCAGGAAUAAAAUGUGGGGCUGAUCGUGGAGAUGCUUUGGACUGACCUUUCCUCAAGCUGUAAAUCUAAUAUUAUAGCACUAUAGUUAAGUUUCUUUUAUUAGACUAUGAGUAAUAACGUAUGUCUUUUCCUCGUGUUAAGUGCAGCUCAUUUAAGAUGGACUUUACGUGAGUUUAUUUGGGGUUUGUGCGCUGUAUUUGCGUGUCUGUCUGGUGUGUUUAUAAUGAGCUGUAUUUUCCACAGGGCUACCCACUGUGCAUCAGCACGGAGGUGUGAAAAGGGGACCUCUCAGACCUAUCUCUGCAUAUUACUCUAUAAUGUCUGACAAACUUAUGCCAGGUCUUGUUCUGGCAUUUGUUUCACAGCACUGUAAAAAAUAUCAGCAUCACCCACAAGCUUUGAACCUGUAAUAAUAUUUUUUUCCAUUCAUUACUUUUUUUGUCUUUACUGUCAUGGUUCAGCAUUAUUUUCGUGGCCUUGGGUUGCCUCAGAUACAUUACAAUCCUGUUCACAAGUAGUUGCACUUUUAGUUUUCGUGGCUAGAUAUACAGGGAAGAAAAUAUGUGUAGCUAAGCAAGUGCUCAGAGCUUCUAAAUCAUGACUGUGUCUGCACUGCAUUAAAAAAACCCAAUCAAACAACAGAUCAAUGUCACUCAGAAAGGCUACAGAGACAAAAUCACGUAUCCUCAAUUUUUUCAGCAAAUCUUUUUUUAAAGUACUAGAACCUGGUCUCUCUAUGAGUCAGGAAUUUCAGACCAACAAACCAAUUGUAAUACAACUUUUCUAACUUUUCUUGUGUUUUGCUAGUUGUACUUCUUGAACUGUCCAUGAGGCCAGGAAACUCCAAACUUAACUUUGGUGGAACCUGUAGACUUUCUGUCAGCAAAAGUUUUUGUGACUGAUAGAGAUGGUAAAUUGCCCUGAACAAAUCAAAACUGUUUAUUUAGAAGAACUUCGAAUCAUACACUGGACUCUCCCUUACUUGAAAUGGAAAGAGGGUGCAACUAUGAGUGAAAAUGCUUUGCUCCAGAAGAGUUACUGCUGGUGGCACAUCAAUUAAUCACCCUGCCAAAGGGAACUGCCUCAAAUACAGCUCCAGUUCUUAUAAUACAGGAUAUUUUUAGCUGUGUUUCGUUAUAAUGGAGGAAAUUCUCCUCCAGCAGAUAGAGAGUCUUCUAACAGUGUUUAGUUUGUGUACUUGCCCCAAGAAUUAAUUUGGCUUGUUGUAUCUUAGUAAAGCUUGCAAUUCUUGUUUUUCAGGUUCCUCUGAUAUUUAGGCAUAGUCUUGCAGUUAGAGAACAAAAGUGAGAAGCAUGACAUCUAUUCCUGACUCAGUUACUUCCUAGAGAAAACAAAGGAGACAGAGAACAAGAUACCCACGUUUAGAGUCAGGCAAGAAGAACUCCUCUGCUAAUGCCUGUGUAUGGAGAUAAAACCUGGAUGUGAAGGCACCACGAGGUCAUACCCAGCAUAACCAAUGACCAGUGUACCAGGCUGAGUGUGGCAUUUUACCCAAAAUACUGCAGAGGAUUUGGGAGAAUGAGCUUUCUAAAUUGAAGCAGGGGUCCUGUGGGUUGAAAUAAACCCUGAUAAUACAGGCUUGAGCACUGUUAUAGCCCAAAGUGGCAGAAGCAAGCAAUGAGAAAGAAAGAUGUUCCUUCCUGUGUGCUCUGUGGCUUGACCAGCUGCAUAAGGAACAGAAAGGGAGAGUCACCAUCCACUCUGGUGCUCAAGCACAGCCAGGGGAAGACAAUGUGCCCAGUAAAAAGGGACUCUCUCUUGGAAGAGAGCAGGAACAGGCCUGCCUGAAGCACAGCUUAAAUAUUAGAUGAGUUUUUAAUACAAAAUAGGAAGUGAUUCUUGAAGAUCAUAAAGACUGAUGGAGGAGUCAGAGUAAAUCCAAGUCUUUUGGCAUACGUGGAAAUGCUGUUUGAAUUUCUUACCCACUGCAUGAGCAACGAGACUUCACACGUCUAAGGCAUUUUUUUCCCCAGUGUUUCGUGAUUAUUUGACUGACUUUACAACAUGUUGGGUAUGGAAUCAUAGAAUUGUUAGGCUGGAAAAGACCUUCAAGAUCAUCGAGUCCAAGCACUCCCCAGCACUGCCAAGGCCACCAUUAACCCAUGUCCCCAGGUGCCACAUCCACAGGAGAAGAUAAACAGGUUCCUUGAGUAGAAACAAAGAUCUGCCUAAAAUGUGCCAGUGUUUCCACUGUGGCCAGUGUUUCAAUUCUAGUUCUUUUAGGAAGACUUUACAAGAAUAGUAAAAAACAGGAACAACCUAUAAUGUAAUUUUUAAGAGACCUGUCAGUGUAGUUUCUGUUUCAAUGCCAGCUAGAGAUGGGGGCAUAAAAUGUUUCUAUAGCCUGCAAAAGGGGACUCCCAAUACACUGCAUGAGGAAUUUAGGCAUCACUGGUGUAUUUGGCACAAAAUAUCAAAUUGUGUGUAUGGACUUCACAGCUGCAGACACCUGGUUUUCAAGACAUCUCUGAUUCCAAGUUGAUGGUAUGACAUAUAGUAUAUAUGACUGGCUUGUUUUUAUAUAAACACUGUAAAAGUAGAGGGAGUCACCUAAGAGAAGGAUGGUAUUUGUUAUUCAAUAAAAUGGAGUAAAA